rnacentral:tRNA from 3 species
GCCCCUGUGACGCAAUUGGCAGACGUGUCCGGCUUAAACCCGGAUUGUUGCGAGUUCGACUCUCGCCGGGGGUA